ACGGGUGAGUAAUGCCUAGGAAUCUGCCUGGUAGUGGGGGAUAACGUUCGGAAACGGACGCUAAUACCGCAUACGUCCUACGGGAGAAAGCAGGGGACCUUCGGGCCUUGCGCUAUCAGAUGAGCCUAGGUCGGAUUAGCUAGUUGGUGAGGUAAUGGCUCACCAAGGCGACGAUCCGUAACUGGUCUGAGAGGAUGAUCAGUCACACUGGAACUGAGACACGGUCCAGACUCCUACGGGAGGCAGCAGUGGGGAAUAUUGGACAAUGGGCGAAAGCCUGAUCCAGCCAUGCCGCGUGUGUGAAGAAGGUCUUCGGAUUGUAAAGCACUUUAAGUUGGGAGGAAGGGCAGUUACCUAAUACGUGAUUGUUUUGACGUUACCGACAGAAUAAGCACCGGCUAACUCUGUGCCAGCAGCCGCGGUAAUACAGAGGGUGCAAGCGUUAAUCGGAAUUACUGGGCGUAAAGCGCGCGUAGGUGGUUUGUUAAGUUGGAUGUGAAAUCCCCGGGCUCAACCUGGGAACUGCAUUCAAAACUGACUGACUAGAGUAUGGUAGUGGGUGGUGGAAUUUCCUGU
rnacentral:rRNA from 1 species